UGUCGUUGCUUGGCUGUAAACCAAGUGCUUUUCGAUCUUAGCCGAUCUCAGGUUGACCGUCCUCGGCCCCUUUCGGUGCACUUAUUGGAGAGCUCUUUGGGCCUGCCGCUUUCUCAAUCGAAAAUGGAAACCUUUCAAGAUUAGCCUACUGAACGAUUCUUUCUAUCACUUACGUGAUUUCUUCUCUUAGUAAAUUUAUAGAAUAAGGGAUUCAGGAUUCAAUUGAAAAUGGUACUUUUUUUGAUUGAAUUCAACCAAACCAAGAACUUCUUCU
rnacentral:lncRNA from 1 species